rnacentral:rRNA from 1 species
UGGGGAAUCUUGGACAAUGGGCGCAAGCCUGAUCCAGCCAUGCCGCGUGGAUGAUGAAGGCCUUAGGGUUGUAAAAUCCUUUCGUUGGGGACGAUAAUGACGGUACCCAAAGAAGAAGCUCCGGCUAACUUCGUGCCAGCAGCCGCGGUAAUACGAAGGGGGCUAGCGUUGUUCGGAUUUACUGGGCGUAAAGCGCGUGUAGGCGGACUUGUAAGUUGGGGGUGAAAUCCCGAGGCUCAACCUCGGAACUGCCUCCAAAACUACAAAUCUGGACCUAAGUAGAGGCAAGUGGAAUUGCGAGUGUAGAGGUGAAAUUCGUAGAUAUUCGCAGGAACACCAGUGGCGAAGGCGACUUGCUGGACUUAUGGUGACGCUGAGACGCGAAAGCGUGGGGAGCAAACAGGAUUAGAUACCCUUGUAGUCCCUGAGCGGGCUGGCAAGGCGCAU